UAAGGAAUAUUGGUCAAUGGGCGAGAGCCUGAACCAGCCAUGCCGCGUGAAGGAAGACGGCCUUAUGGGUUGUAAACUUCUUUUAAGAGGGAAAAAACUGGGCUACGUGUAGCUCAUUGCUUGUACCUUUUGAAUAAGCAUCGGCUAACUCCGUGCCAGCAGCCGCGGUAAUACGGAGGAUGCGAGCGUUAUCCGGAUUCAUUGGGUUUAAAGGGUGCGCAGGCGGAUCAAUAAGUCAGUGGUGAAAUCCCAUAGCUCAACUAUGGAACUGCCAUUGAUACUGUUGGACUAGAGUAUGGAUGACGUAGGCGGAAUGCGACAUGUAGCGGUGAAAUGCUUAGAUAUGUCGCAGAACACCGAUUGCGAAGGCAGCUUACGAAGCCAUAACUGACGCUCAUGCACGAAAGCGUGGGGAUCAAACA
rnacentral:rRNA from 1 species